AGGAGCGAUCUUACCACCACUAAUGCACCGGAUCCCAUCAGAACUCCGAAGUUAGGGGUGCUUUCUCCAUAGUAAUUUUUUUACGGGUGACCCCCUGGGAAGUCACCGUGAUGGUCCCC
rnacentral:rRNA from 1 species